GGAGGCCCACAGAAUCGCCCUCCUCGCUCUCUAAAUAAGCAAGGUCCACCCCCACAAGGAGGUCAGCAGCAGCCCAGUGGUCCUUCUCCUCCUGGAAACCAGCAGGGCCCACCCCAACAAGGAGGCCCACAGAAUCGCCCCCCUCGUUCCUUACAUCAGCAAGGUCCAGCCCCACAAGGAGGUCAGCAGCAGCCCAGUGGUCCUUCUCCUCCUGGAAACCAACAGGGCCCACCUCAACAAGGACGCCCACAGAAUCGCCCUCCUCGCUCCUUAAAUCAGCAAGGUCCAGCCCCACAAGGAGGUCAGCAGCAGCCCAGUGGUCCUUCUCCUCCUGGAAACCAGCAGGGCCCACCCCAACAAGGAGGCCCACAGAAUCGCCCUCCUCGUUCUUUAUAUAAGCAAGGUCCACCCCCACAAGGAGGUCAGCAGCGGCCCAAUCGUCCUCCUCGUCCUGGAAACCAGCAAGG
rnacentral:lncRNA from 1 species